UAAUUAGAUUUGGUUUAUUAAUAAAAGUAAGUAAAUUUUUUAUGAUUUUUUUAAAAAAAUCAUAAUUCAGAAAAUAAAAUUUAUUUAAUAAUUUAAAAUUAUUGAAAUUUACAGAAAAACUUAGCUAAUUUUGUGCCAGCAGCAGCGGUUAGACAAAAAAGAAAUUUUUUCUAUUAAUUAUUUUUAAUAUUAUUUUAAUUUAUUAUUAAUAUUAAUUAAAGAAGGUGAAAUUUUUUAAUUAAAUUAUUAUUAAUGUAAAAAAGAAAUUCGUUUAUAAACUAGGAUUAGAUACCCUAUUAUUAAUGAGCUUUAUAUUGUUAGUAUAUAAUAUAUAUGAAAACAAAAAAUUUUGGCGGUACUUUAAGCUUUUCAGAGGAAUUUGCUCUUUAAUGGAUAAAACACCAAAAUUUUACUAAAAUUUGUUAAAUUCAGUUUGUAUACCACUAUAAAAAUAAUAUUUUAUUAUUAUUAUUAAAAUUUUUUUUUUAAUUAAAAAUUAAAAAAAAUAAAUUAAGUCAUGGUGCAACAAAAAUUUUAGGAUGAAGUGAAUUACAUUUUUUUUUAAAUAAAAAAAGUUAUUGAAUUAUUAAUGAAAAUUAAGGAUUUGAAAGUAAAAAUAUAAUAAAAUGAUAUUUUGAAUUUAGUUCUAAAGUAUGUACAUAUCGCCCGUCGCUCUUUUUUAAAGAUAAGUCGUAACAAAGUUAAAAUACUGGAAAGUGUUUU
rnacentral:ncRNA from 1 species